rnacentral:tRNA from 1 species
GGGCUAUUAGCUCAGUUGGUUUAGAGCGCUGCCUUGACAGGGCAGAGGUCACUGGUUCGAAUCCAGUAUAGCCCACAA